GAUGAAGAACGUAGUGAAAUGCGAUACUUGGUGUGAAUUGCAGAAUCCCGUGAACCAUCGAGUCUUUGAACGCAAGUUGCGCCCGAAGCCAUUAGGCCGAGGGCACGCCUGCCUGGGCGUCACACGUCGUUGCCCCCCUAUCUACUCCUUCGGGAUUGCGGGGGGCGGAUGAUGGCCUCCCGUGCGCCUCGCCGCGCGGUUGGCAUAAAUGCCAAGUCCUCGGCGACGCACGCCACGACAAUCGGUGGUUGCGAAACCUCGGUUGCCCGUCGUGUGCGGUCGUCGCGCAUCGAGGGCUCGAAAAAAUUGCCGGGUUCCGGCUCGGCUUUCAACGCGACCCCAGGUCAGGCGGGGUUACCCGCUGAAUUUAAGCAUAUCAAUAAGCGGAGGA
rnacentral:misc_RNA from 1 species